rnacentral:rRNA from 1 species
UACGUAGGGGGCAAGCGUUGUCCGGAAUUAUUUGGGCGUAAAGAGCUCGUAGGCGGCUUGUCGCGUCGACCGUGAAAACUUUGGGGCUCAACCCCAAGCCUCGGUCGAUACGGGCAGGCUAGAGUUCGGUAGGGGAGACUGGAAUUUCCUGGUGUAGCGGUGAAAUGCGCAGAUAUCAGGAGGAACACCGGUGGCGAAGGCGGGGUCUCUGGGGCCGAUACUGACGCUGAGGAGCGAAAAGCUGGGGGAGCGAACAGGG